rnacentral:rRNA from 1 species
AUACGUAGGUGGCAAGCGUUGUCCGGAUUUAUUGGGCGUAAAGCGAGCGCAGGCGGUUUCUUAAGUCUGAUGUGAAAGCCCCCGGCUCAACCGGGGAGGGUCAUUGGAAACUGGGAAACUUGAGUGCAGAAGAGGAGAGUGGAAUUCCAUGUGGAGCGGUGAAAUGCGUAGAUAUAUGGAGGAACACCAGUGGCGAAGGCGGCUCUCUGGUCUGUAACUGACGCUGAGGCUCGAAAGCGUGGGGAGCAAACAGGAUUAGAUACCCUGGUAGUCCACGCCGUAAACGAUGAGUGCUAAGUGUUGGAGGGUUUCCGCCCUUCAGUGCUGCAGCUAACGCAUUAAGCACUCCGCCUGGGGAGUACGACCGCAAGGUUGAAACUCAAAGGAAUUGGCGGGG